rnacentral:rRNA from 1 species
CACGUAGGGGGCGAGCGUUGUCCGGAUUUAUUGGGCGUAAAGAGCUCGUAGGCGGUUUCGUAAGUCGGAUGUGAAAACUCCAGGCUCAACUUGGAGACGCCAUUCGAUACUGCGAUGACUUGAGUCCGGUAGGGGAGUGUGGAAUUCCCGGUGUAGCGGUGAAAUGCGCAGAUAUCGGGAGGAACACCAAUGGCGAAGGCAGCUCGCUGGGACGGUACUGACGCUGAGACGCGAAAGCGUGGGGAGCAAACAGG